rnacentral:rRNA from 1 species
CGAGCGGCGAACGGGUGAGUAACGCGUGGAUUAUCUGCCCUGAGGUGGGGGAUAACCCGGGGAAACUCGGGCUAAUACCGCAUAUGACCGCGAGGUCAAAGGGGGGUCGCAAGAUCUCUCGCCAUAGGAGGAGUCCGCGUCCGAUUAGCUAGUUGGUAGGGUAAUGGCCUACCAAGGCGACGAUCGGUAGCCGGCCUGAGAGGGUGAUCGGCCACACUGGAACUGAGACACGGUCCAG